rnacentral:tRNA from 1 species
GCGCGGUUAGCUCAGGGGUAGAGCACAUCGUUCACACCGAUGGGGUCAUUGGUUCAAAUCCAAUACCGCGCACCA